AUCUCCCCCACUCAGAGCCGUUCCACCUCUCAUGAUAUCUCCCCCACUCCUCAGCCUUUUCUCCCCUCACGACAUCUCCCCCACUCCUCAGCCUUUCCCCCCAUGACAUCUCCCCCACUCAGAGCCGAUCCAGCCCUCAUGACAUCUCCCCCACUCCUCAGCCUUUCCUCCCCCCAUGACAUCUCACCCACUCCUCAGCCUUUCUUCCCCUCAUGGCAUCUCCCCGACUCCUCAGCCUUUCCUCCCUUUCCAUGACAUCUCCCCCACUCCUCAGCCUUUCCUCCCCCGAUGACAUCUCCCCGACUCCUCAGCCUUUCCUCCUUUUCCAUGACAUCUCCCCCACUCCUCAGCCUUUCCUCCCCCCAUGACAUCUCCCCCCAUGACAUCUCCCCCAUUCCUCAGCCUUUCCUCCCCUCAUAACAUCUCCUCUACUCCUCAGCCUUUCCUCCCCCCAUGACAUCUUCCCCUACUCCUCAGCCUUUCCUCCCCUCAUGACAUCUCCCCCUACUCCUCAGCCUUUCCUCCCCUCAUGACAUCUCCCCCACUCCUCAGCCUUUCCUCCCCUCAUGACAUCCGCCCCUACUCCUCAGCCUUUCCUCCCCUCAUGACGUCUACCCCUACUCCUCAGCCUUUCCUCCCCUCAUGACGUCUCCCCCACUCCUCGGCCUUUCCUCCCCUCAUGAC
rnacentral:lncRNA from 1 species